rnacentral:rRNA from 1 species
GACGAACCGUGCGAACGUUGUUCGGAAUCACUGGGCUUAAAGGGCGCGUAGGCGGGCUGUCAAGUCUGGGGUGAAAUGCCGCGGCUCAACCGUGGAACUGCCUUAGAUACUGACGGCCUCGAGGAAGGUAGGGGCAUGCGGAACUGUAGGUGGAGCGGUGAAAUGCGUUGAGAUCGGAAAGAACACCAACGGCGAAAGCACUCUGCUGGGCCGACACUGACACUGAGAGACGAAAGCUAGGGGAGCAAAUGGG